rnacentral:rRNA from 1 species
GAUGAACGCUAGCGGCAGGCUUAACACAUGCAAGUCGAGGGGUAUAGUAGCAAUACUAGAGACCGGCGCACGGGUGCGUAACGCGUAUGCAAUCUACCUUUCACAGAGGGAUAGCCCAGAGAAAUUUGGAUUAAUACCUCAUAGUAUAGUAUCUUGGCAUCAAGGAACUAUUAAAGUCACAACGGUGAAAGAUGAGCAUGCGUCCCAUUAGUUAGUUGGUAAGGUAACGGCUUACCAAGACUACGAUGGGUAGGGGUCCUGAGAGGGAGAUCCCCCACACUAGUGCUGAGACACUGACCAGACUCCUACGGGAGGCAGCAGUGAGGAAUAUUGGACAAUGGGCGCAAGCCUGAGCCAGCCAUGCCGCGUGCAGGAUGACGGUCCUAUGGAUUGUAAACUGCUUUUGUACAGGAAGAAACACCCCGACGUGUCGGGACUUGACGGUACUGUAAGAAUAAGGAUCGGCUAACUCCGUGCCAGCAGCCGCGGUAA